UAGGGAAUUUUCGUCAAUGGGCGCAAGCCUGAACGAGCGAUGCCGCGUGAGUGAAGAAGGCCUUCGGGUCGUAAAGCUCUGUUGCGGGGGAAAAAAGGCUAGCAUCAGGAAAUGGGUGCUGACUGAUGGUGCCCCGCCAGAAAGUCACGGCUAACUACGUGCC
rnacentral:rRNA from 1 species